rnacentral:rRNA from 1 species
UACGUAGGGUGCAAGCGUUAAUCGGAAUUACUGGGCGUAAAGCGUGCGUAGGCGGCUUUGCAAGUCAGAUGUGAAAUCCCCGGGCUUAACCUGGGAACUGCAUUUGAGACUGCAUGGCUGGAGUGCGGCAGAGGGGGAUGGAAUUCCGCGUGUAGCAGUGAAAUGCGUAGAUAUGCGGAGGAACACCGAUGGCGAAGGCAAUCCCCUGGGCCUGCACUGACGCUCAUGCACGAAAGCGUGGGGAGCAAACAGG